CGGAACCAUACGGGGUCUUGGUCAAUCCUUAGCAGGUUCACCAUGGGAAUCAUUAGAGAAGUAAAAAAAAAAAAAAGGGGACAAAAGGAAGAGGUGAGAGUCAACUGGUGCCAAAUGAAAACUAGAAAUCUUCCUCCGUGACAACAGAAGGCGACAGGACUCCAUAAAGGCGGAGGUCGUGGGGGGUGCUGGAGCCUAUCCCAGCUGCAUUCGGGCGGAAGGCGGGGUGCACCCUGGACAAGUCGCCACCUCAUCGCAGGGCCAACACAGAUAGACAGACAACAUUAGAUAUUUUCCCCCGGCGAUUCCCGUAAUUUUCUCCCCAUUGACAAUAAAUGGGAAAUAUACAAUCGACUGAAUAUCCCACAUUUCCCAUCCGAUUUGCAACAUUUUUUCAACACCCACACACUCAA